AAUAGAUACCCAGGUAGUCCACGCCGUAAACGAUGAGUGCUAAGUGUUAGAGGGUUUCCGCCCUUUAGUGCUGCAGCUAACGCAUUAAGCACUCCGCCUGGGGAGUACGGCCGCAAGGCUGAAACUCAAAGGAAUUGACGGGGGCCCGCACAAGCGGUGGAGCAUGUGGUUUAAUUCGAAGCAACGCGAAGAACCUUACCAGGUCUUGACAUCCUCUGACACUCCUAGAGAUAGGACGUUCCCCUUCGGGGGACAGAGUGACAGGUGGUGCAUGGUUGUCGUCAGCUCGUGUCGUGAGAUGUUGGGUUAAGUCCCGCAACGAGCGCAACCCUUGAUCUUAGUUGCCAGCAUUUAGUUGGGCACUCUAAGGUGACUGCCGGUGAUAAACCGGAGGAAGGUGGGGAUGACGUCAAAUCAUCAUGCCCCUUAUGACCUGGGCUACACACGUGCUACAAUGGAUGGUACAAAGGGCAGCAAAGCCGCGAGGCCUAGCCAAUCCCAUAAAACCAUUCUCAGUUCGGA
rnacentral:rRNA from 1 species